GUGCUUGCUUCGGCAGCACAUAUACUAAAAUUGGAACGAUGCAGAGAAGAUUAGCAUGGUCCCCGAAGAUUUAAAACAAACACAAGGCUUAGGAAGUAUUCCUUCUUUUG
rnacentral:snRNA from 1 species